rnacentral:rRNA from 1 species
UACGUACCGUCCAAACGUUAUUCGGAAUCACUGGGCUUAAAGAGUUCGUAGGCGGCCCAGAAAGUUGGGUGUGAAAUCCCUCGGCUCAACCGAGGAAUUGCGCUCAAAACUACUGGGCUAGAGGGAGAUAGAGGUGAGCGGAACUGAUGGUGGAGCGGUGAAUGCGUUGAUAUCAUCAGGAACACCGGAGGCGAAGGCGGCUCACUGGGUCUUUCCUGACGCUGAGGAACGAAAGCUAGGGGAGCGAACGGG